GAUGAACGCUGGCGGCGUGCCUAAUACAUGCAAGUCGAGCGAACGGACGAGAAGCUUGCUUUCUGAUGUUAGCGGCGGACGGGUGAGUAACACGUGGAUAACCUACCUAUAAGACUGGGAUAACUUCGGGAAACCGGAGCUAAUACCGGAUAAUAUUUUGAACCGCAUGGUUCAAAAGUGAAAGACGGUCUUGCUGUCACUUAUAGAUGGAUCCGCGCUGCAUUAGCUAGUUGGUAAGGUAACGGCUUACCAAGGCAACGAUGCAUAGCCGACCUGAGAGGGUGAUCGGCCACACUGGAGCUGAGACACGGUCCAGACUCCUACGGGAGGCAGCAGUAGGGAAUCUUCCGCAAUGGGCGAAAGCCUGACGGAGCAACGCCGCGUGAGUGAUGAAGGUCUUCGGAUCGUAAAACUCUGUUAUUAGGGAAGAACAUAUGUGUAAGUAACUGUGCACAUCUUGACGGUACCUAAUCAGAAAGCCACGGCUAACUACGUG
rnacentral:rRNA from 1 species